rfam:Salmo salar isolate Sally breed double haploid chromosome ssa20, whole genome shotgun sequence.
UACACGCAUGACUGUAAGUCGCUUUGGAUCAAAGCAUCUGCUAAAUGGCAUAUA